CACAGAUCAGCUCUAUUCAGUAUGGAAAAGGACUACACAGAAACUUGAAUAACAUGAGGCAAGAAUCAAUGGGGACCAUCUUGGAUAAUGGUUAUUACCAAGAAGAUAAACACAAUAAUAAAUAGAAUAUUUAAGUGAUGACCAGUGCUCCAAUAACCAUGUUGGAAUAUGAAGCAACCUUGAAGAUGAAAGCUAUGCACUUAGAAUGAGGAGUAGAAACUUAAACACUAAGGACCAAGAAACAGCAACACUAAUCCUGAACUCUAUUUCAGGACUUCUUUUAAAUGAAAAAAAAAAAAAAUAAUAAUCUUCCAUACAUUUA
rnacentral:lncRNA from 10 species